UACGUAGGUGGCAAGCGUUUGUCCGGAUUUACUGGGCGUAAAGAGCGCGCAGGCGGUCGUUCAAGUCGCGUGUGAAAGCCCCCCGGCUCAACUGGGGAGGGUCACGCGAUACUGAUCGACUCGAAGGCAGGAGAGGGAAGUGGAAUUCCCGGUGUAGUGGUGAAAUGCGUAGAUAUCGGGAGGAACACCAGUGGCGAAGGCGACUUCCUGGCCUGUUCUUGACGCUGAGGCGCGAAAGCUAGGGGAGCAAACGGG
rnacentral:rRNA from 1 species